rnacentral:lncRNA from 1 species
CCUAAUGAAUCAGCUCUCCUCUGCUCUGGUCUGGGGGCUUUGCUGUGGAACCACCAACUGCGUCCAUGGGUGACAGAUGUGGGCAAUAACUCAGGGGCCCUGACACCUAAUGUGAGGCCUCUCUUGUCUGUGGCUGCAUUAGCUGGACUCACAGCUGGACUCACAGCUGCUGGCGACCUGGAGCUGGGCCUGGGCCUGGAGCUGGGCCUGGGCCUGGAGCUGGGCCUGGGCCUGGGCCUGGGCCUGGACCUGGACCUGGAGCUGGGCCUGGGCCUGGAGCUGGGCCUGGGCCUGGAGCUGGGCCUGGAGCUGGGCCUGGAGCUGGGCCUGGGCCUGGAGCUGGGCCUGGAGCUGGGCCUGGAGCUGGGCCUGGAGCUGGAGCUGGAGCUGGAGCUGGGCCUGGGCCUGGGCCUGGAGCUGGGCCUGGAGCUGGGCCUGGGCCUGGAGCUGGGCCUGGAGCUGGGCCUGGAGCUGGGCCUGGAGCUGGAGCUGGAGCUGGGCCUGGGCCUGGGCCUGGGCCUGGGCCUGGGCCUGGAGCUGGGCCUGGAGCUGGGCCUGGAGCUGGAGCUGGAGCUGGGCCUGGGCCUGGAGCUGGGCCUGGGCCUGGAGCUGGGCCUGGGCCUGGGCCUGGGCCUGGAGCUGGGCCUGGAGCUGGGCCUGGGCCUGGGCCUGGGCCUGGGCCUGGAGCUGGACCUGGAGCUGGGCCUGGAGCUGGAGCUGGGCCUGGAGCUGGGCCUGGAGCUGGACCUGGAGCUGGGCCUGGGCCUGGGCCUGGGCCUGGGCCUGGGCCUGGGCCUGGGCCUGGAGCUGGGGCCUGGGCCUGGGCCUGGAGCUGGGCCUGGAGCUGGGCCUGGGCCUGGAGCUGGAGCUGGAGCUGGGCCUGGAGCUGGGCCUGGGCCUGGAGCUGGGCCUGGGCCUGGAGCUGGGCCUGGGCCUGGAGCUGGGCCUGGGCCUGGGCCUGGGCCUGGAGCUGGGCUCCCCGUCACUGCAGCGCUGGCUCGGCCCUCGUGUGUUCACCAGGGGAGUGAACGCACGAGGGCCGUCCUGUUCUGUAAUGCAGAGGGUUUGAGGCGCUGCCCGCGUGCUCUCUAG